rnacentral:rRNA from 1 species
GAUGAACGCUGGCGGCAUGCCUAACACAUGCAAGUCGAACGGAGCUAUUAUGGAAGCUUGCUUUUGUUUUAGCUUAGUGGCGGACGGGUGAGUAACGCGUGAGAAACCUGCCCUUGAGUGGGGAAUAACACCGAGAAAUCGGUGCUAAUACCGCAUAAAGUCACGGGAUCGCAUGUUCUUGUGACCAAAGGAUUUAUUCGCUUAAGGAUGGUCUCGCGUCCGAUUAGUUAGUUGGUGAGGUAACGGCUCACCAAGACCGCGAUCGGUAGCCGAACUGAGAGGUUGAUCGGCCACAUUGGGACUGAGACACGGCCCAGACUCC